rnacentral:tRNA from 1 species
AAUGAAAUAGUUUAGUUGGUCAGAACGUUGGAAUCAUAAUCCAAAUGCCAGGGGUUCGAAUCCCUUUUUCAUUA